AAAAUUGUUUUAUUCAUUAAUAAACUCGAUGCUAUUAUGGUAACAAAAAUCAAUUUCGUGAAUACGUAGAGGUGACGUAAUAACCACUUUUAUGAUACUCGAAGCGUUUAGUACUGUGGUAGCAAAAUGGAGCGGUUAUACAAAAAUUUCUUAGGUCAGGACGCCCGCAGAGAUGCAUUCCGUUCGUUCAACAAUAGAAAAUAUUUCAGAUAGAAGCCAAGCUUCACGUUAGCAGACUGUCGACUAUACUAAAAUGCAGCACUACCUCCGAUUCUUCCUCCCAAUCGUCGCCACGUGACCACCCUCAAUUGUCCAAUAGGGUGGUGGAUAUCUUAGUUCGGCACUUCGCCACCGGAGGGAGCAGGAUGUAUGGUUAUAAAGCGCCACCACCGAAGCUGGGAGAGACGAGUUGUACGCUGUGCGUGAGUAAAGUAAGUUGGUUGGACCAGUAGGAACCACUAAAUAUUCAAACUUAUUGGACUGAUCUACUGCUUAACGAACCGGAGAAGUGUUUUAAUUUUCGGAGAUAAUUUUUGUGAGAUUUUAAAGGUAAGAUAUUCAGAUAAUUUUAAUGAUAUUAAAAACAACCCCCUAUGAAAUAUUUAAGUAUAAUUGUCAAGAUUAAAAUGGGGUGUUUUUUUUUUGUUUUUUCGAUGCUUCCUUUUACUUCGAGUGACGGAUUUAGGAGAGUUGCACGAGUUUUAAAAUGUGUUUUAUGUAAUUCUAAACCCCCUAUUGCUUAUAAAUUCGCUUAUAUAUUAAACUUUAAUAUCUUAGAAUGAUGAUAACUCCAAGUGAUAGCAGUUAAAUCGGGAGUGAAGUGCAUCCACUAUAACUCAGCGGGUUGUCCUUUACUUGUGUCAGUGGCAGAUGACAGGGAUUUCAAAACAUAUGCCAUGGAUUAUACGAAGGAUAAGAUAAGCACUGAUUUCCUAUCAUUAUCACCUUAUCGGGGAUGAUAUUCUUUAGAUUUUUAGCCAAUUUAAGAGAGGUGAAAGAAAGGCUCCGAAUAGAAUUCCCUUGUAUAUGACUUACGGUUCAAACACCUUUUAUAAGAGGUCGUGUUGCGACAGUCGUUGGUUAUAAACAAACAUCACGGUGUUAAAGCUUAAUUGUGAAUCGAACGUUACUUCCAGGUUGAUUUUCUUCGUUUAAUCAGCAAAUUUUGAUAUUGUAGUAGUAGUGUUUUUAUUUAUCGUCUUUACUUCUUCUACCUAUACGCAAUAACGAUUUGUAUAUGUAAUUAUUUACUGCGAUAUGGUUGGGAAAGAGGUUCGUGUUUAACGUCACACGCUGCUGUUUUCUACAGGGGGUUUCCCCCGCUGAUUUUUACUUAGAAAUUCUUUCCUAUGCGACCUUCCGUGCUACCUAUCUAUAAAGAGGGGGGGCUAUUUUGUGUUCCGUGAUGUUAUUGUGAAGAUCCCGUAUUGUAUUGGAUGUGAGUUGAAGGAAACGAUCUAUUUUUUAGAUUGCUUUCCAUAUACCUGGCUCAUUUUCGUCUUUUCCUCCCAUUUUCCUUAUCCCCCCUUCGUAUAAAACAGUAAAUUAACCAUUGUGGAAGAGAUAGAAGCGUGGAGGAGAAGCAGAACCGCAGGGGUUUCUCUGCUUAUUUAUACCACACGAUUUAUUAUAAAAAUCAAUCUCUCUAAUGAGAAACGAACCUCGCCCCACGAGGGGUGAAGUAGGAUACAGUCGAGCGAUCUAUGUAAAAAAUGUAUAAGGUAAAGCUCUUUAUGAAAAAUUAAUGAUAUCCAGUAUUAUACAUUAUCUAAUGACCGCUAAUUAUACUUAAUAGAAAGGUAAAUUUAUAGAUUUUCGCGUCGGGUUUAUACAUCUUACUUUACUAAAUGUUCUGAUUUGUUUAAUGUACUUCCCAAAGGCAUACUUUCCAGGCAAUUUAACUGUUAAACUUUAGAGAUAAUUUGUCUACAUAAACGGUUACGAUUCUACAAAACUAUUUCCAGUUAUAAUCAUCGAAUAAAUCCGGAUAAUCGAUCAAUAAAAUAAGGAGCCUCAUAAAGGACGUUACAUAAUCCAUUUUUAUCAAAGUUUAAUUAGGAAAUUAACCAAUUUUUCAGUAGAAAUCUCCUCCGUUAUUAUGAAAUCUUGUUCGGUACAUUAAUAUACAGGGAUGCGGAGUUUAUCCUUUAGCUUGAUGGCUAUAUAAAAGUCUCUUUUGAAGUCAACCGUAAAUAAAUAUACAAAAUCAAAAUUAGUGCCGUAAUUUAUGUAAGAAGAAAAGAUGGGUGUGUGCUUUCCAUGUUAAAAAUCUGAAUUAUCUUCUUGAAUAGCAGCUUAAUCCUUGAACAUAAUUAGUGGAGCGAAGUUUUGUAUCCUCCCAUUAAACUAUCCUUAAACCAGUUUUUGAGGCUGAGUGUAACAUCAUUUUUUUUUUUUUAAUUUUUCCUCGUUACUUCACACGAUAAAUAAGCAUAAUUUCUUUAAGAAUUGAUAAAUAAUUAUUAGAUUAUCAUUAAAAUAUAAUUUUUUUUUUUGGUCCACUCUCUUAUUGAAUUUCUUCAAUCUCUUCAAUUGUGAAAACGUAAGAAUUCUUUACUUUCUCAAUUGAGUUUACUGGUUUCUUUAUUCUUUUUUUAUACUAGGAUUUUCUAGUUUACUUUCCAUCGUAUUUCUGUACUUUAUAAUCUAUUUUUCCUCCAUCUGCACCGUUUGAUUCUAACGUCUUCACUAGUUUUUCUCUAUUGUACUCUAUGAAAAACCACGGUAAAAUUUAAAAAGGAAAUUAUUUAACACGACCAAAAAA